AUGGAAAAAAUAGGUGUAAGACAGUUUCCAAAAAAAAAAAAAAAAAGGUGUAAGACCUUACAGGGACAAGUGAGUAGAAAAUUUCACAAGUUGAGGCUAGACUAAUUAGUAAAAUUUUAAGGUGAUACAUUUUUCUCUCUCGCAUUUGUAGGCAUCAUCCACUAUGUAUUGAUUUGUGUCAUCCGAACAAAGAAUGCAAUAUGAAAGAAGAAAAUAAAUCAGGAAGAAGAUGAGUAGUAAGUGGCAAGUGCAGGUAGUAAGGGAGUAAAACUAGCAAUAUCUGUCUGGUUCUUUUCACCCAGUGGCGUAACACUUCCAGGAGCAGAAAUCCUCGAGGACCUCGACGCAUUGUCUUCAAAUGCUCGUCUUUUAUCUAAACUUUCCAAAUACCACCAGUGUAAUUUGCAUUCCACACUUGCCUCUGAUACCUCUCUAGUCUUACUUUAAGCUCUGUGCUAAACAAACAAACCUUUUGCAAGUUUCCUGGCAUAGCCGCAGAGCAAUAGCAUUAUGCAUGCACUCUCCACCACCUUUUAUGUGCAAACAUCACUGGCAAAGUCCUGCAUAUAUAAAAUCUACGUGCAUUCCAGUCGCAGUCAUAGUCACAGAAGCAAAGCCAUACCCAGAUAAUGGUACAUAGAGGAUCGAGGCUAAUUUCAACACUUUUAUCACAGACUCACUCAUUGCCUUGCCAGAAAUGUUUUAAGUUCAUGUGUUUUGGAAUCCUGUGCCACCGUGUAAUGCCCUGGGUGACAUGUGAGGCAAAUACUAAUUUCGAUAUGAGGUCUAUGUUGUGCACCUAGUGCCUAUGUAUUGCUUACUUAUUGCCUAUGUAAUGCCUCUUUCAGGAGUUCAUCCUCAAUGUUGAG
rnacentral:sRNA from 1 species